rnacentral:rRNA from 1 species
CAGUAGCCGCGGGAAAACGGAGGGGGCUAGCGUUGUUCGGAAUUACUGGGCGUAAAGCGCACGUAGGCGGCUUUGUAAGUUAGAGGUGAAAGCCUGGAGCUCAACUCCAGAAUUGCCUUUAAGACUGCAUCGCUUGAAUCGCGGAGAGGUGAGUGGAAUUCCGAGUGUAGAGGUGAAAUUCGUAGAUAUUCGGAAGAACACCAGUGGCGAAGGCGGCUCACUGGACGCGUAUUGACGCUGAGGUGCGAAAGCGCGGGGAGCAAACAGGAUUAGAUACCCCUGUAGUCCCUGUCUCUUAUAC